AUACGGAGGGUGCGAGCGUUACUCGGAGUCACUGGGCGUAAAGCGUCCGUAGGCGGUCGGGUAAGUCGGGUGUGAAAGCCCCGGGCUCAACCUGGGAAGUGCACCCGAUACUGCUCGACUCGAGUGCGGGAGAGGAUGGCGGAAUUCCCGGUGUAGCGGUGAAAUGCGUAGAGAUCGGGAGGAACACCAGUGGCGAAGGCGGCCAUCUGGCCCGCAACUGACGCUGAGGGACGAAAGCGUGGGGGGCAAACAGGAUUAGAAACCCUUGUAGUCC
rnacentral:rRNA from 1 species